UAGGGAAAGUCUUCCACAAUGGACGAAAGUACUGAUGGAGCAACGCCGCGUGAGUGAAGAAGGGUUUCGGCUCGUAAAACUCUGUUGUUAAAGAAGAACAUAUCUGAGAGUAACUGUUCAGGUAUUGACGGUAUUUAACCAGAAAGCCACGGCUAACUACGUGCCAG
rnacentral:rRNA from 1 species